UGAAUCCAACCUGUUAACUGGGAACAUCAUGAUUCUUAAUCGCCAAAAAAUGGUUACACUAUUUGUGAUCAGUGUCAGUAUUACUUUUUUCUCUUUAGGCUGCUCCAUGUAUUUCUUUUACAAGAAUUCAGGCAAAAGUCCAGGAGUUCUUGGUGCGUCAAGAUUCAGAAGAGAAAAUCCCAUCACAAAAUUUUUUUACCCAAAAACCUGCAUCCCCA